rnacentral:rRNA from 1 species
AUUGAACGCUGGCGGCAUGCCUUACACAUGCAAGUCGAACGGCAGCAUGGGAGCAAUCCUGGUGGCGAGUGGCGAACGGGUGAGUAAUAUAUCGGAACGGUGCCCAGUCGUGGGGGAUAACGUAGCGAAAGCUACGCUAAUACCGCAUACGAUCUACGGAUGAAAGCGGGGGAUCGCAAGACCUCGCGCGAUUGGAGCGGCCGAUAUCAGAUUAGGUAGUUGGUGAGGUAAAGGCUCACCAAGCCGACGAUCUGUAGCUGGUCUGAGAGGACGACCAGCCACACUGGGACUGAGACACGGCCCAGACUCCUACGGAGGCAGCAGUGGGGAAUUUUGGACAAU